AGAGUGAACGCUGGCGGCAGGCCUAAUACAUGCAAGUCGAACGGCAGCACAGCAGAGCUUGCUCUGUGGGUGGCGAGUGGCGGACGGGUGAGGAAUACAUGGGAAUCUGCCCAGUCGUGGGGGAUAACGUAGGGAAACUUACGCUAAUACCGCAUACGACCUUAGGGUGAAAGCGUGGGACCGCAAGGCCACGCGCGAUUGGAUGAGCCGAUGUCGGAUUAGCUUGUUGGCGGGUAAAGGCCCACCAAGGCGACGAUCCGUAGCUGGUCUGAGAGGAUGGAUCAGCCACACUGGAACUGAGACCACGGUCCAGACUCCGUACGGGAGCAGCAGGUGGGAAUAUGGACAAUGGGCGCAAGCCUAGAUCCAGCCAGUGCCGCGUGUACGUAGAAGAAGGCCUUUACGGGUUAGUAAAGCCUUACGUUUUACGGACCCGGUAAAAAGG
rnacentral:rRNA from 1 species